rnacentral:rRNA from 1 species
GGCGGACGGGUGAGUAAUGUAUAGUUAAUCUGCCCUUUAGAGGGGGAUAACAGUUGGAAACGACUGCUAAUACCCCAUACUCCUUUUACAUUAAUUGUAAUUGGGAAAUGUUUUUUCGCUAAAGGAUGAGACUAUAUGGUAUCAGGUAGUUGGUGGGGUAAGAGCCUACCAAGCCAAUGACGCCUAGCUGGUCUGAGAGGAUGAUCAGCCACACUGGAACUGAGACACGGUCCAG